UUUAAUUCCUGGGCUUAAGUGAUCCUCCUGCUUCAGCCUCCUGAGUAGCCAGGACAACAGACAGGUGUCAGGACCCUGGCUAAUUUUGUAUUUUUUUUUAUAGAGACACGGU